rnacentral:lncRNA from 12 species
AUGCAUAUAUUUCAGGGACACGUUUUGAUGGUGGAGGUAACUGAUCUACCUGAGUAUUCAGAUCUAUCUGCCAACACUGAGAAGAAAACCGAGGAGGGCUGCAACGUGGCUGUCAUGUGUUCCAGGUUCUGGAAUGUGCUCCAUGUGUUUUCUCCUUUUGGAUCUCAGGCAAAAGAAGCAGCCCCACUCUGGGCUGUCCCUGUCUUCACAGCAGAGGGGAAGAGUGAGCAGCUGAACCAAAAGCACACUGUCACAUUUAAAGCAUUAGCUUGGACAGAUGGAACAUCUGCUCAUAUUCCAUUGCUCAGCACAAGUCACUUGGCCAAGCCCAACAUUGCUAUGGCAGGGAUGUGUACCCCACCCAGGGCAGGAGGGGAGAGUUAUCUACCAUAAUCUCCAGCAACAUUUGGUGUAUCCAUCCUUUCUAACUUUUCAAGAGGCAAGGACAUGUGCAUAUACACACAAAAUACACUUUCUAAACAUGGGAUGAUUCAUGCUAUAAAAUUACUUGCCUAAAUGCUUUUUUUUGAUGGACAGUUUUCUAAAUCAAUAUGUAUUCUUACAUCCUCAUUUUGAUUGGAUACAUAAUAUUCCACUUUAUAGAUAUGCAUGGACAUCCUUGUGCAUAUAUCUUUGAACACAUAAUUAAGAUCCAUUACUACAAGUAGAAUUACUGGGGCAUUCAGAUCUCACAUUUUCAAGGCUUCUGGUGAAUAUUACAAUUUACACUCCUAAAAAUGACAAUCCUCACUUAAAAUAAAAAUGUAUUGACUUUUCA